UAUUAAAGUUGCUUCCAAUAUGAGCUCUGCUGCUUGGGAGAGGAUCCAUUCUUUUGAUUUCUGUUUGGAGCAUCAAACGUUGAAGUAAGUUUGUAACCCUCCAUUAGCAUUUCUUCAGUGCCUUGAAAGGGAGAUAAAUUUGUUAUACUACCAGACUGAAAAUGGUUAAAAUGCAUAUUCUGGUUGUUCUUAUUGUAACAGGGUAGAGUGUACAGCCUAAUUGUCUUGAACAUAGCCCUCAUUAGCAUUCUUCUCAAUAAAGAUAUAUUUGUUCUAAUAUAUAAUUGAAGAUUGUUGUUUGUGCAUGCUCCAUGAAAUAAGCGAGCAAAAAUUCUUCAAACCUAUUAUAUGAAGUACUUGCUCACCAUAGUCCAGUCGUAAUUUGAUCAUACUCACUUAUUUGGUUUCAUGCUCCAUGAAGCAUUUGGUACUAGAAAGGCUAUUGCAGUUUGGCCUAGCUUGCUUCACAUACAUCAGAGCAGAGUACAUCUUACAUUUUGUUGUCUUAAAGGCAUAUCAUUGCAAGUACUUGGUUGCACCAUACUGGAAGAAUGACACCAUAAAGUUUGAAAAGACCUUAAAGGUUAGUGUUUUUUAACAUAUGAUUUUCGCUUGAGUGCAGCAAUCCUAAACCCUUCAUUUUUUGUUUCACGGAUUCUUCUAGAAUUGUGAGUAUUUGCAAUAGCAUAAUAAUAAUAAUAAUAAUAAUAAGAUGAAGACGAAUUCUGGGAUUUUCUGUUUAGAAAAUAGAUAUUUUGCAGAGCAUAAAAAUUGCUCAUAUACUAACUGGUAGAAUAAUACGUCUUGUUCUCCUUACAGAAUAUAUUAAUGCCAAUGGAAAUAGGCUCCAUAGGUUUAUUUUCAUUUUUUUAUUUUGUCUGUGAUGCCUCAUUUUGAACCUGGAGGGGAGCACGGAGACAAGGCUGGUUGGAUGGGGAGGCUUGGGGCAGCGGGGAAGGAGGGACGGUCUUCGGUGACAAGAGUGGGGGUGGUGGUGGCCAUAGGAGAAGCUCUAGCCCGCCUAGACAAUCACUCCAGUGGAGGCAGCGGCAAGUUACCUUCUCCAGGACGAGGUCCUUGUUGCCGGCGACCGGCCUCCCUCGUGUGGGAAUAGAUUGUCGUCUCCUUCUCCCCCUGGUCCAUGAUCGUCGCCAUGUCGAGAUCUGCUCCUCCUUCCUGUUCAUGUUUGGUUGGUUUGAAGCUCCACAUGGCAACAAUGGUGAGGUGACGUUGUUACCAGAUGUCAUGAAUAAGAUGAGCAGCACAACCAGAACCUACACUGCUAGUUGGCCAUAUGGACUACUGAGGAUGCUCAACUGGUGUUAGAUAAUGUCUCAGUGGGUUCCCUUUCAAUAGCACAUCUACAUUAUAUGUUGGUUAUAUGAAAGAUUGAAGCUGCUUGCAACACACACCCAACUGUUGAUGUAUUAUAAACUUUGUAUCGUUCUGGAGCUUUGAAGCAGGUAACUAUCCAGGUUGUAAAGGAGGGAGAUUGGGGAUUUCUCAAUGCUUGUCUUGUUGCCUGUGCAUUGCGGUCUGCUACCGUGUCGCUUGAUGUUCUGAAGCAACAUUUUAAAAAUCUAAUCAUUUUCUCUUGGAGGUUUGGAUAAUCGGAUGGUGUCGAGUACAGGUUGCUGGAAACAUUUCCAGAUAAGUUUGAGUCAAUAAUUAGCCGACGACUCAUUUGUACUAUUUUCAGGAAGCUACAAAGAUGGCUAUUUUUACUUUGCCCUUGUCAAAGCAUGCUUUAUAGCUCUACAGCUUUAAGUUAUAAAGUGGAAGGAUUAAUAUUGCCCUUGUCAAAGCAUGAUUUACAGCUCUAUUCCAGCUUUAAGACAGGAAGUGGAAGGAGUAAAAUUGCUACUAUUUUUAGAUUGUUUCCUGUUGGAACUUGUGCGCUGAUCGAAGAUACCAUUUUAGGCAAGAAGGCUGUGGAGAAAAACAAGACAUUGGCAGAGGCUUUGAUUCGUUCAGGUAGACACUAGAAGAGAUGAUCACCAGCUGUUGUGAGGGAAUUUUCCGUGCCCGCCGUCGCUGGCUGUGGACCUAUGGCGUUCCCUGUCGCCGGCUGUGGACCUAUGGCGUUUAGUUGUAGCUCGUUGUAGGCUAGAGGUUGGUGGUGGCGUGUGCGCGCUGCAGCUGUCGCGUUCAGGCUGUGGGGGCUGAAUAUUGGCUCAUCCAGGCGGUGCGGUGAGUCUUCUUUUUACCAUGUUUUUGUCGGCCCAGAGUUGUAUAUCCCAUUUUUCAUCGUCUCUGAACUACUAGCGGUUUUCACAUUCUUUUUUUCCUGAUCAGUUUAUUUAUGCUAUCUCUGGUGAGUUUUAUUGUCUACCACUACAUGAUCUUUUUUUCUGCAACAACUAAUAGGGUUAGAAAUACAAACAUGAAACACGAAAUUGUUAAGAAACAAUAGUAUGUGAAGCACGAGUCUCCUUUGAUAGGAAGUUAUCAUCACCAUUGCUUUAUAGAGUAGUUUUGAAGUUGUCUGCUGGUCUAAUGUAUUGCUUAUUUCAGAUUUUUUGUAAAGGGAGGAUUGGGGAAGUUAGGGCGAGGCAUGGUGGUGGUGGUGGUGGUGGUGCUUGAGGGUGGGCGGCUCCUCGGGGAGGAGAUUGUGGUUUCAGGUGACCAAACCAGAGCAGAUGGGGUCAAGCAUGGGGUUGUGGACGGGCUGGAUCAUCAGAUUGGCUCGGUUCCGUCGCACCAGAGGGGAAGAAGACAACUUCUGUGCGAUUCAGAAAAUUGAGUGCUUGGAUGGUUAUUUGUGAAAUUAAAGCAACUUGUGUUCUGUUUUUUUUGUGUGUGGGUUAUUUUAAACCCGAGUUAUGUGAGAUUGAAAAAAAAAACAUUGUGAAAGAGAAAAGCUCGGACGUGUAUCAUUUUACUUCUUGACAUAUUUUAGAGUUCAUAU